GACAGAGGGUGCAAACGUUGUUCGGAAUUACUGGGCGUAAAGCGCGUGUAGGCUGCUUCGAAAGUCGGGUGUGAAAGCCCCGGGCUCAACCUGGGAAGUGCACUCGAAACUUCGGAGCUGGAGUUCUGGAGAGGAAGGCGGAAUUCUCGGUGUAGAGGUGAAAUUCGUAGAUAUCGAGAGGAACACCGGUGGCGAAGGCGGCUCACUGGGCUCGACACUGACGCUGAGGUGCGAAAGCGUGGGGAGCAAACAGG
rnacentral:rRNA from 1 species